AUGUCGGACAGUGACAGUGACCGGGUCACUCCCGUGAAACCCCGACCCAAACGCCGCCGCAUCAUCUUCGACCCCUCCACCAUCAACUCGGUUCCCAUCUACACCAACAAAGUGAAUAAAUGUCUACAGCUGAAGCCGACCUCGGCGGUGCUCACGCACAACAGCUCAGGCGACCCGGCAGAGGCUACACCGUACAGCAACUCGGCACCCGAAUGUAACAACCUCUGCCUCACCGAUUCUGAGGAAGAGGAGGAGCGCAAACUCCUCAACCACACUAAGAUCAGCGAGAGUGUGGCCCUCCUCUCCCCCUCCCCUCCCCGGACCCCAAAUGUUCCCCGGGUCCAGGUGUCUACCUCGGUCUGGAGGGCCAUGGAGUGA
rnacentral:lncRNA from 1 species